UACAGAGGUCUCAAGCGUUGUUCGGAUUCAUUGGGCGUAAAGGGUGCGUAGGUGGCGCCGUAAGUCAGGUGUGAAAUUUCGGAGCUUAACUCCGAAACUGCAUUUGAUACUGCGGUGCUUGAGGACUGGAGAGGAGACUGGAAUUUACGGUGUAGCAGUGAAAUGCGUAGAGAUCGUAAGGAAGACCAGUGGCGAAGGCGGGUCUCUGGACAGUUCCCGACACUGAGGCGCGACAGCGUGGGGAGCAAACAGG
rnacentral:rRNA from 1 species